ACUACCUUAGCUGACUAGCCUAGUCAGCUAAAGCUACCUAGCCAGCGGGCUAGAUAAUUAGCUUGUUAGCUAAGAGAGUUAGCUUGCACUGUCGGACAAAACCACAAACAACGCGGUUAGUGAUCUAAUAACGUUGCAAACGUUAAUCUCACGCUAGCCGAACGAGCAAGCAAAGUAAAAGUGACAAAAAACGGGUACUCAUACUUAAGAUAAACAGUAUUUGUCAAAGUUAGCUCAACAACUCGCUAGUAGCAUUCAGGCUAGCUAACUUGUUAGAGUGACGUGACGUCAAAGUUUUGGGUACGUGUCUCUUUCAAACAGGCAGGAGGCGCAAACGUACCAGCGGGCAGACGGGAAAGGUUACUACGGGAAAUGCCCCUGUAACGUCAUCCAAACUGCAGCACUGGAGUUGUAGUUUCUCAGUAGUGUUCAGGCACCACCAUUGCAACUCUUCCCCAAAAACUGCGGCCUACAUCAUAGUCAGCAGGUCACCACCCUGUGUGUUCUCCAUCCCUCCUCAUCUGGAAUUCAGGCAUGCUACAAUGACCCAGUGAUGCUGUGUGACAGGCCACGUAGGGCACUGGCUGUUUGUGUCAAUCCAGAUCAAUCCCUCCCUCCUCUGGACAGACAACGUCAUCAACGCAAAGAAAGGUCACAGGGUGUACUCAAGCCAGGCCUGGUGUGUUGAGCAGGGAGGUCAGCUUAGCGAGUGAACACCCUUGACUGACUGAGUGUCAUCUCAUGUAUUGACACAGUCGUCUUAUAAGUAAGAUAAACUGGUAUAUUAUGGUUAAUUUUGGUA